AUCGAAUGCUACUGAUGAAAGCAUUAAAAAGCAGAUCAGUACUUGGCUGGCAGGUGCGACUUUACGACUGAAGCGGAAAACCAUAAAAAUGGAAGACAAAGAAAACAAAACGGACGGAGACCCAACAUCUUAAAUGCGCGGUCUCAAGAGUAGUUGAGAGUCACUUCCUUUUUUUUUACAUAUAAUAUAUGUAAUAAUAUGCGUUUAUCUUUGUAAGGUAUAUAUAUAUAUAUUUUUUUUUUUACACACAUGUGAUAUAUAAUAAUAUGAGUUUAUCUUUCUAAGGUAUAUACAGGGUGGGCCACUAAAAACGAAACAAGCGUGUUUUUUGGUAUUUAACUGAAUUAAUUUGAAAAACGCUCAGACAUUCUCUUAUGGGGUUGAACUUUGGUGAUUGAAACUAAAGUUGACAUGUCUGAGCGUUUUUCGUAUUAAUUGAGUUAAAUACC